AUCGCUGUGAGUAACCAGUGUGAGCAGCAGUGGGGGCUCUUGCCGUGUGCUGUGAGGUUUGUCUGCAGCUCGGGGCGGGGAAUGCAAAGGAGAAGUGAGGGUGUGAGCAAUGGUCGUGCAGGACCUGAGGCUACUGGGGAAAGGAGGUGGGGCUGUGAGCCCCGAGUCCAGGUUUGGGGGUGAGAGCGGUCAAGAAUGGGGAUGUUUUGGGGUUGGUGAGUCUGAGCUUGUGGGGGGAGCAUUGAGGGAACCGGUGGGUUUGGGGUGUACCAGGAUGGGGAGUGGGAACAGCUCAGCAUCACGGGGAGAACAGCCCCUCCGGGACCCCCGGCAGUCAGGAGAAGGGCACAGGGGCUGCAGUCCCCCCGGGGGUGACACCAGCCGAGGAAGGAGCCCCCCCAUUUGCCCCAGCCGUGCCAAGGGCUUUGCUGCAGAAAUCCCAGAGGAAUUCGAUGUCAGGUUGCUCCAGGCCAGCAGCGCAGCGGGUUGGGGAACCGGGGUGCUCCCCCAGCCCAGACCCCCGUUGUGGCUCCACAGGGUGGGGACACAAGGACCCCUCACCGGGGGGACGGGCAGAGCCGAUAACCCCCCUGGCUGCCCUUCCUGAGCAGAGGGAGCCGCAGAUAACAGCACUGCGGGUAGAGCAGGGCUCAGCUCCAGGCCUGGCUUAGCCUGAUACCAGCCCCAAAGAGUGACCUCUCCCUUAGGCUUGGCUCAGCCCAAAUUUCUCCCCCACCCUGGAUAAGCAGCUUCCAUUGCUCUGAUUGACCCGGGUGAUACCCCCGCUAUGUCCUUCCCCUGCUCUUAGUCAGGUUUAACCACACUUUGGGAGGAAAAAAUCUUGUUUAUUAUAAAGCAGAGACCUGCAGCGAUGCCCAGAUCUGCCUACAAACCCCCGCGAAAGCCUCCGGCAUCGCAGGUUGAGUUGGCAAGGGGGGGAAGCAGCUGCUUUGGGGAUUAUUAAUGAGCAACGAGUGAUGGGAAAGGAGAGGAUCAAUUGAAACAAAGGAGUUCAAUGGUAAAAAGAAACAUUUGCGGAGUAAUGGGAGUCCAUUUCUCCAGCCGACUGUCGGAAACGCAUCCUGUUAAACAUCCAUCAAUUAUCCCAGCUUGCAAAUGCAUUAAGGUAAUGAGGAAUUAUCCAUCACAUACACUUAAGGCCGGUGCCCCCCCUCUGCCAGCCGCCCUGCAAAGAGCCACUUCAGGAAGGGAAAAUGACCUGAAGGCGGAUGGAAAUGGGGGGGCAGCGAGGAGGCCCCGGGACUGCGUCCCCCGAGCCCAGUCCAGCCCAGAGGAUGUUUUCCCAGCUCCUGGGCUUGCCUGGCUCCUCCAGUGCCCGUGAUUCCUCCCGAGAGCUGCGGUGACACUGGCUGGUGGCCCCCUGGGCAGCUCAUGUACCUGCUCUGUGCCUCAGUUUCCCCAUCCCUCCUGCAGCCACCCGUGGGUGCUGCUCACGUCUGCACCGUGUCACCCAUUGCCUCUUUUCCCAGGAACAGAAGUAGUGGUGAGUGUGGUGUGUGGUCUGGUAACUAAAUUCCCCAAAACCUGCACUCUGCCACCGCCUCCCCCUUCCCUUGCCCGUGGGGGGGAUGGAAGCGCAAAGUUGGGGUUUCUCCUGUCUCUGAACCCGCCUGGUUCUGCUCAGAACCACCUCACAUGGGUUAAUGGUUGGACUUGGUGAUCUUGAGGGUCUGUUCCAACCCAAAUGAUUCCCAGCUCUCCACACCCCUCGCUUUGUGACUGGCAGGUUCCCCAGUCCUGGGGAGGAGGUGAGUGAACCAGCGCAGUCGCAUUUCUGUAAGUAACGGGGUAUAAAUAAACAGCUCUUGGGCUCGUCUUUCCCAGGGCCGGUGCCUCCAUGUCCCAAACGCCUCUGGCAGCCCUGUCCGGGCUCCGCAGGGCCACCCGGGCUGGGUCCCAGAGUGUCCCUCCAGCUGUGGCUCCAUGGAAAGCUGAGCCUCCCUGGGACGGCGCUCGCUCUGAUAACAGCAACUGCCAUUAGGUGUCACAAGAGCAUCAGGUCUCUGCUCUUCCCGGGAAUGGUGCCCUGGGGUGGGAGAGAUGGGGUGAUGAAGAGGCCCUGGGAGCUGGAGAUGCCCCAGCAGCGGAGAUGAGCUGCAUGGACCUCGUGAUGCCACAGCGGUCACCAUCCUUUGGUGACCCAGCUGUCCCCUUCUCUAUCACCUCCUGUGUCUCCUGCCCUGGCACUGGGGACAGGUGGGAGGUGGCCAUGCGUUCCUGCUGUCCCCCACUUGGCCUUUGGCUAACCCGCUGUGUUUUAUUGCACGAAAGCAAAAGCAGCGGCUGCUCUUGAAGAAGAGGCUGGUGCUGGUGCCUCGCUCAGCACCGUGGCUCCUCCCAGUGCCCUCGAGAAGCCCAAGGGUGACAUAUCUGCAAAAACGUCGCAUGUUCCUCCCCAUGCAGGACGUAUCCGGCUGCGAGGAUGCAGCUGGGGGGGCUCUGGGUGGUCACCCAUGGGGGAUGUUCCCGUUUGUCCCCUCCUGGGAUUCCUUGGUCCUGGCCACGCGUCACCUCCCACUGCCCUGUGCUGGGGGGGCAGCUGCUACGCUCAGAUAAUCUUCCAGGAAUUUGCAAUUCUUCUCCCAAAAGCCAUUUCCUUCUUUGAAUUUUGCAACACGACCUGAAACAAAGCAGCAUCCAGGGCUCAGCGCCUCGAUAAGGCACCGCUGGGAAAAGCCUGGCUCUCCUCUCCAGCACCGGGCACGAAGCUGUGGUUUCCUCCUCUUCUGCUGCUGGUUCUGCAGAAUCCUGAAGAGGAAAGGGCUCCCUGAUGCAGCCGCGGAUGCUCCCCGAGCCCAGCUCUGUGCCUCAGUUUCCCUGUGCCACGGAGAGGAGAAUGUCACCAACCCCUCUGAUGCCGUGGGUGGAGCCAGGAGCAGGGCAGGAGGAGCAGAGCUGGUGACAGCAAAGUGUCCCCGCAGCACACGAACAGCCAUCGCGGCCGUGUCCCGCCAGCUGCCCCCGCGCUCAGCACGCAGGAAUGCCGUGAGUUUGCAAAGUGGUUUCAGCGAGACGUUAUCUAAUGGAGGAGGAGGAGGAGGAAGGCGGAUUAAGCCAAACCCACACCACCGGCUUUCAAUUAAACCAAGCGAAUUUAUGGCUUCUCCCUCUGACACAGUAAACACACGCUCCGAGCGGCCGAUAGGGUCCUGACCCGGUGUUUCCCCCCCGUGUCCUGGCAGGCGACAGGAGCAGCAUCCCAUGGGUGGGAGCGACAAACCCUCUGGGCUUUGCAUUAUUUACCACUAUGUGAAGUGCAGGGAAAUGUGGGUGAUGCUGCAGUGGGCAGCGUGCCCGGAGCCGUCCCCAGGGACCUGGGCUGUGGAUACAGGGAAUGGAUCGGGGAGAGGUGGGGACCUGGAAGAAGAAACACCCCAGCAGCAUCUGCUGGAUGGGAGACAUGUAGAGAGCCUCAGGCUUUGAGAAAUGCAGGAGCACCCUGGAUGGAGGGUGCUGCGGUCUGACGCUCGGUGCAGGCAGCCCUGGUGCCAGGCCCAGCCCUCCCUGGCUGUCCCUCCAUGUCCCUGCUCUGGUCCUGCACACCCUGGUGCCUCAGUUUCCCCCUCAGAGCAGGGAAGGGUGCAGGCGUUCCGGGGGUGGCAGGAGCAGGGCGAGCCGGGCGAGUCGGAUGAGCCAAGAGAUGAUCUCGCAACCGAAGCCAGGAGCAUCCUGCUGGCACCGCGGGCAGGGCUGGGUGUGAGGUGCAGCCGCACGUGUGCCGGGGCACGUCUGGCACCCGCUGCCAGCAGCCCGGUCCUGCCCGGCUGCCUCCUCUGCCUGUCAUGGGGGGAUGGCAGCAGCCCCAUCCCCUCAUUCUGCACCAAUGGGUCUGGUGGGAUGAGAACGGUGCAUCCUGACACUCCAACUCCAGCUCUGCCAGGCACCCAAGGCUCCCCAAGCUCUUGAGGUCACAGUGGAGGAGUCCUGGGCAUCGUGUUGGUCCCUGGCUAUGGGAGAUGGGGCCAUGGUAGCCAGGUUGGUGGCAUAGAUGGCUCCCCAGCCACACUGUGCCGCAGCAGCAUCCGCGCCCCGGAUGCAGGCACCUGGCCAGGAGGGUGAUGGAGGAGCCAAGCGAGGCUGCCGGGGUGACGUCCUGGCACUGCAGCUGACGUCCAUGAAGGGGAAAUCCCUCCCUAGAGCAAAUAAGUGGCCAGGCUGUGCAAACCUGGCUUGGCGAGUGUCUCCUGGCAGGUAUCUGGUCCCAUCUGGCCGCUGUUUACCUGCCCGCUGGAAUCCACCCUGCAAACUUCCUCCUGGAACAGCCCUGAUAAGAUGAAGGAGCCACGCAGGGGGGACCCUGGUAUCACCGCUGACCCUGAGUCAGGGGGUGGUGAUUCCUGGGGGACACCUCAGUCACUGCACAGGGUAACAGAGUGGAUCCCGACAGCGUUUUGGGGGAUGUGAGCACCCGGCUCCCACCAGGUCCCCAAGGCCGGGGCUGAACCCUGUUAACGCCAUCCCAGCACUGAGCACCCCGGAAGCUGCAAAUGGGUGUUCAGGGCUGCUGGGCCCCUUCCAGGAGGGUGUGGGCAGGUCACAGCAUCCCCAUCGCUGCCUCAGUUUCCCUCUGGGCCGGGUUCACCUGCCCCGCACGUCCCUCCCUGGCCCACGGCACUGGCUGCUGCGGCGUGCAGGGACCUGCCGCCACACAGGGAGGGGACCGAGCAGGGACAUGCCCGGCCACGGUGCUGCCUGGUGCAGGCAGGACCCUGCCUGUCAGUGCCACUGCUGGUGGCUUCAAAGGCAGCCGGGACUGCUCCGUCCCCCGGAGAGACCUGACACACCUCGCCGCACCUUGCAGUGAAACACAUCCACGCUCCUGCAAGCACCUGGGGUUUGCAGCACUCGGGGAUGUAUUUCCAUCGCUACCAAGGGGAGACUGAGGCAGGGCAAUGCAAGCCAGGUGGGAAGGAUGGUGGCACAGCAGAGAGCAGCCCUGGCCCCGCGCUCGUUGUGAAAGCCGCCGGUUAUCAGAGCGCCAGCGUCACGCUCGGAGCGAGCGGCUUCCAGGAAAGGAAGGAAGCGCGGGGUCACCCAGCCCCGCUGCCGCCCUGUUCCAGCAAACAGCCCGGGCCUGCUGAUAAUGGGGCCGUGUCACCGGCUGCCCAGGAAUCCAGAGCCGCCGGCCGCACACGCUGCCCAAAACGUGAGAUUUCCCCCUGUUUCCUCACCCAUCAAAGCCGGCCGCGGUGCUGGGGUAGCGGCAGCCAGUGCUGAUGCUGCGCGGCUCUUGCGCAGGGUGAGGAGCAGCAUCACGCGUUGGCAAUGCCCCAGUUCCACCCCAGUGCUGGUGGGAACUGGGAGGCACUGGGCUGGGUUUGCUGCACUGGGGGGUGGGAGGGUGCUCGGGGGGGCAUUUCCCGCUGGGCUGCCCCAGCACAAGGCAGGUAACCCAGGUGCGAGGUUGAACUGGGACGUAUAAGGGCAAAAGGGGGUGCGAUGCCAGGUGCACUCCUGGGUCCUCUCCCACCACCUCCUGCCAGACACGGUCUCAGAGGCCAGCAAACCAGCAGGGCACCGGGCAUCCCACCAAAAUAGCGGGGGUGACCCCCUGCACCAUCCUGCCAAGCAAAGUGCCCCAGGAGGGAGCAGGGACUGGAGCCUGGAGCCUGCUCCACCCCGAUACUGAGAAUAAUUACAUGAUUAUGCGAUUUGGAAGCAAA